UACGUAGGGUGCGAGCGUUGUCCGGAAUUAUUGGGCGUAAAGAGCUCGUAGGCGGUCUGUCGCGUCGGUCGUGAAAACUUGGGGCUUAACCCUGAGCUUGCGGUCGAUACGGGCAUGACUGGAGUUCGGCAGGGGAGACUGGAAUUCCUGGUGUAGCGGUGAAAUGCGCAGAUAUCAGGAGGAACACCGAUGGCGAAGGCAAUCCCCUGGGCCUGCACUGACGCUCAUGCACGAAAGCGUGGGGAGCAAACAGG
rnacentral:rRNA from 1 species